rnacentral:piRNA from 1 species
UACUGCAGUAGGCAUUGAGCAGGGAGGG